GAAAAUAAAGGGACAAAACGAGAUGAAAUCAUUCCAGCCGUCAGAUCUUAAUUAAAUUGAUCAAACGGAUAGAGAACCAAACCAUUAAAACCAAAUCUGUUUAGACUGCUAAGACUCCACGCCUAAUCUGUUUAUCUUCCUCGGUUCCUCCUCCCUCGUCUCAACUCAUGCUCUCCCCUAUACCAUUCUUCAUUCUUCCUCAUCACCAUAAGACUGGUCUCUCUUGAAGCCAUCUGUGCUAUACAUUUCGGAAGAACAUAAAGUGAGCUGGGUUUGGUCCUGCCUUUUUACAGGGAACUCUUCAUUUGAUUCUGGUUGCUAGCUAGCAUCCUUCUCAACUGCAUUGCGUUUAUUAUCACCAACAACCGCUGCAUUGUUUUGACACUAUUGCUAGAACUAUGCAUCUGGACUGGUAUGCUUGGGUUUCUGCUAAUGCUCACUGCAGGAAAGAUUGUUUUGGUUGUCUUCUUCACAUGUUGGUUCUUAUGGAAGUGAGGAAAUAAAGCUAUUUUUGAUGAGAUAUUUCAUUUCCCUUUAAUACAAGCAAGAUAAUAAUUGAUGGUGCUAAGUAGUAGAACGCUGCCAGCAUGGUCAGACUGGUUUGAGUAAGCCUUCUGUGAACUUCUAUAAGCUCAAUGUGGGUAGUGCUAGAAAAUCAAAACGGGGACAUCGGUGCUGGUGCUGUUUUAAGGAGCCAUUCUGGCAACUGGACUUCUGGUUAUGUGGAUAGAUUGGUGAAUGGUACUGUGCUUCAUGGAGUCGGUUGGGGAUUACUUAAAGGUUUGAUAUUGACCCCAGACGCAUCCUAACAAUGUCUGAACAUCCUGAUUGAACGUGAUUCUGAAAUUCUAACUAGAUAAAAAAUGGUGUGGAUGGCCUGCAAUUGCUGCCAAUUCUAAUGGAACAAGUCCUGCAUUGUGAAACUUCAUGUGUAUCGUUAAAUCAACCAGGUUGCUGAUGUGCUUUUCUAAGUCUGGAUCGGAUGCUGAGCUUUGAGUGUGGAGCAACUUCAUCCGCAAGUUAUUACUGCAAUUUUAGAUGACUUGUGUGAAAGUCCUAGGUUUAGGACUGAACUUUGAAAUGUAACUAGAAUGGUCGUCAAGUUCUACUGAUUCUGUAAAAUAAAGUCCGAGUUGGAGAACAAAAUUUACAUAUCUACAAAUAUAUAAUAAUAAAGCAAGUUGUCAUGCAGAUUCAAAAAA